rnacentral:rRNA from 1 species
CCUACGGGAGGCAGCAGUGAGGAAUAUUGGUCAAUGGGCGCGAGCCUGAACCAGCCAAGUAGCGUGAAGGAUGACUGCCCUACGGGUUGUAAACUUCUUUUAUAAAGGAAUAAAGUGAGGCACGUGUGCCUUUUUGUAUGUACUUUAUGAAUAAGGAUCGGCUAACUCCGUGCCAGCAGCCGCGGUAAUACGGAGGAUCCGAGCGUUAUCCGGAUUUAUUGGGUUUAAAGGGAGCGUAGAUGGGUUGUUAAGUCAGUUGUGAAAGUUUGCGGCUCAACCGUAAAAUUGCAAUUGAUACUGGGGGCCUUGAGUGGGCGAGAAGAAGGCGGAAUGCGUGGUGUAGCGGUGAAAUGCAUAGAUAUCACGCAGAACCCCGAUUGCGAAGGCAGCCUUCCGGCGCCCUACUGACGCUGAGGCACGAAAGUGCGGGGAUCGAACAGGAUUAGAUACCCCGGUAGUC